rnacentral:rRNA from 1 species
UAUGGAGGUGGUAAGCGUUAUUCGGAAUUACUGGGUUUAAAGGGUGCGUAGGCGGCUUGAUAAGUCAGGGGUGAAACCCUAUCGCUUAACCAUAGAAUUGCCUUUGAUACUGUAAAGCUUGAAGGGGGUAGAGGUCAGCAGAAUGUGGGAUGUAGCGGUGAAAUGCAUAGAUAUGCCAUAGAACACAGGUUGCGAAGGCGGCUGGCUGGGCCUACUUUGACGCUGAGGCACGAAAGCGUGGGGAGCAAACAGG